UUUCCGUAGGUGAACCUGCGGAAGGAUCAUUAUUGGAUUUUGAAACUUCAGGCUGCUGCUGGCUCUCCUCGGAGGGCAUGUGCACGCUUGUUGUCCAUUAUUUCUCCCACUGUGCACAAAUUGUAGACCUUUCAGUAGGCCUAUGUUGUUUUUCACAAUCUCUGAAUGUAAUAGAAUGGUUUUGAAUCUUGGGAAAUACAAUACAACUUUCAGCAACGGAUCUCUUGGCUCCC
rnacentral:misc_RNA from 1 species